rnacentral:rRNA from 1 species
UACGAAGGGGGCUAGCGUUGCUCGGAAUCACUGGGCGUAAAGCGCACGUAGGCGGCUUCUUAAGUCAGGGGUGAAAUCCUGGAGCUCAACUCCAGAACUGCCCUUGAUACUGAGGAGCUUGAGUCCGGGAGAGGUGAGUGGAACUGCGAGUGUAGAGGUGAAAUUCGUAGAUAUUCGCAAGAACACCAGUGGCGAAGGCGGCUCACUGGCCCGGUACUGACGCUGAGGUGUGAAAGCGUGGGGAGCAAACAGG